GGCCUAACACAUGCAAGUCGAGCGGAAACGAGUUAUCUGAACCUUCGGGGAACGAUAACGGCGUCGAGCGGCGGACGGGUGAGUAAUGCCUAGGAAAUUGCCCUGAUGUGGGGGAUAACCAUUGGAAACGAUGGCUAAUACCGCAUAAUGCCUACGGGCCAAAGAGGGGGACCUUCGGGCCUCUCGCGUCAGGAUAUGCCUAGGUGGGAUUAGCUAGUUGGUGAGGUAAUGGCUCACCAAGGCGACGAUCCCUAGCUGGUCUGAGAGGAUGAUCAGCCACACUGGAACUGAGACACGGUCCAGACUCCUACGGGAGGCAGCAGUGGGGAAUAUUGCACAAUGGGCGCAAGCCUGAUGCAGCCAUGCCGCGUGUGUGAAGAAGGCCUUCGGGUUGUAAAGCACUUUCAGUCGUGAGGAAGGUAGUGUAGUUAAUAGCUGCAUUAUUUGACGUUAGCGACAGAAGAAGCACCGGCUAACUCCGUGCCAGCAGCCGCGGUAAUACGGAGGGUGCGAGCGUUAAUCGGAAUUACUGGGCGUAAAGCGCAUGCAGGUGGUUUGUUAAGUCAGAUGUGAAAGCCCGGGGCUCAACCUCGGAAUAGCAUUUGAAACUGGCAGACUAGAGUACUGUAGAGGGGGGUAGAAUUUCAGGUGUAGCGGUGAAAUGCGUAGAGAUCUGAAGGAAUACCGGUGGCGAAGGCGGCCCCCUGGACAGAUACUGACACUCAGAUGCGAAAGCGUGGGGAGCAAACAGGAUUAGAUACCCUGGUAGUCCACGCCGUAAACGAUGUCUACUUGGAGGUUGUGGCCUUGAGCCGUGGCUUUCGGAGCUAACGCGUUAAGUAGACCGCCUGGGGAGUACGGUCGCAAGAUUAAAACUCAAAUGAAUUGACGGGGGCCCGCACAAGCGGUGGAGCAUGUGGUUUAAUUCGAUGCAACGCGAAGAACCUUACCUACUCUUGACAUCCAGAGAACUUUCCAGAGAUGGAUUGGUGCCUUCGGGAACUCUGAGACAGGUGCUGCAUGGCUGUCGUCAGCUCGUGUUGUGAAAUGUUGGGUUAAGUCCCGCAACGAGCGCAACCCUUAUCCUUGUUUGCCAGCGAGUAAUGUCGGGAACUCCAGGGAGACUGCCGGUGAUAAACCGGAGGAAGGUGGGGACGACGUCAAGUCAUCAUGGCCCUUACGAGUAGGGCUACACACGUGCUACAAUGGCGCAUACAGAGGGCAGCAAGCUAGCGAUAGUGAGCGAAUCCCAAAAAGUGCGUCGUAGUCCGGAUUGGAGUCUGCAACUCGACUCCAUGAAGUCGGAAUCGCUAGUAAUCGUGGAUCAGAAUGCCACGGUGAAUACGUUCCCGGGCCUUGUACACACCGCCCGUCACACCAUGGGAGUGGGCUGCAAAAGAAGUAGGUAGUUUAACCUUCGGGAGGACGCUUACCACUUU
rnacentral:rRNA from 1 species